rnacentral:rRNA from 1 species
AGGAUGAACGCUGGCGGCGUGCCUAACACAUGCAAGUCGAACGUCCUGUCUCGCAAGAGGCAGGGAGUGGCGGACGGGUGAGUACCACGUGGGUCAUCUACCGUGAGGUGAGGAAUACCGGCGAGAAAUCGCCGACAAGACCGCAUAGGCUCGAUGCAAGUCGAGCAAAGCUCUUUCGAGAGAGGGAGCGCCACACGAGGAGCCUGCGCCCGAUUAGCUAGCUGGUGGAGUAACGGUUCACCAGGGCGACGAUCGGUAGCUGGUCUGAGAGGACGAUCAGCCACACUGGGAUUGAGAACGGCCCAGACUCCUACGGGGGGCAGCAGUGAGGAAUUUUCGUCAAUGGGGGCAACCCUGAACGAGCAACGCCGCGUGCAGGAAGAGGUUUCGGAUCGUAAACUGCUUUUCUCGGGAAGAGAACGGACGGUACCCGAGGAAUCGAGCCCCGGCUAACUACGUGCCAGCAGCCGC